rnacentral:misc_RNA from 1 species
GAUGAAGAACGUAGCGAAAUGCGAUAAGUAAUGUGAAUUGCAGAAUUCAGUGAAUCAUCGAAUCUUUGAACGCACAUUGCGCCCUCUGGUAUUCCGGGGGGCAUGCCUGUUCGAGCGUCAUUAUAACCACUCAAGCUCUCGCUUGGUAUUGGGGUUCGCGGUUCCGCGGCCCCUAAAAUCAGUGGCGGUGCCUGUCGGCUCUACGCGUAGUAAUACUCCUCGCGAUUGAGUCCGGAAGGUCUACUUGCCAGCAACCCCCAAUUUUUACAGGUUGACCUCGGAUCAGGUAGGGAUACCCGCUGAACUUAAGCAUAUCAAUAAGCGGAGGA